AUUGAACGCUGGCGGCAGGCUUAACACAUGCAAGUCGAACGGUAACAUAAAGAAGCUUGCUUCUUUGAUGACGAGUGGCGGACGGGUGAGUAAUGCUUGGGAAUCUAGCUUAUGGAGGGGGAUAACUACGGGAAACUGUAGCUAAUACCGCGUAGAAUCGAGAGAUGAAAGUGUGGGACCUUCGGGCCACAUGCCAUAGGAUGAGCCCAAGUGGGAUUAGGCAGUUGGUGAGGUAAAGGCUCACCAAGCCGACGAUCUCUAGCUGGUCUGAGAGGAUGACCAGCCACACCGGGACUGAGACACGGCCCAGACUCCUACGGGAGGCAGCAGUGGGGAAUAUUGCGCAAUGGGGGCAACCCUGACGCAGCCAUGCCGCGUGAAUGAAGAAGGCCUUCGGGUUGUAAAGUUCUUUCGGUAGCGAGGAAGGCAUUUAGUUUAAUAAACUAGGUGAUUGAC
rnacentral:rRNA from 1 species